ensembl:lncRNA
AGAUAUCAGAGCCAGCGGCAAAUUCCAGAAGAUCUGGCCGAGGUGAGGUGCACUCUCUGCGGGUUUAUGAGCACUGAACGACCGCUGUCUCCCUGAUACUCACAUCUCCAAAAACAUUGUAAGUAAAUUUUCAAAUAGACAUUAGCUUAAUUGACAAACCACAUAUUUUAAGUCCAAACAAUUAUUCUCGCCUAAAAACUCUUAAAACUACAUUCUGUGACAAAAACUAUUAUUUUUAAAACUAUAGUGGAUUUGGGCGUCCGCCAUGACACUCACUGUGAGAAAUAUGGCAACUUCGGCAAGCGGAGUGCUACAAACGGUGAGACAGCUGUUGGACUCUAAUAUCACACUCUUAUUAGCCAAUCAGAUUCAGGGCCAGAAAGAACUGUUGUAUAUUCUUUUUCAUUCCCAUAUAGUCAUCCUUGAUAUUAAUGCAUAGGUGAGUUACUGGGGGUCUCAGGACUGCUCUCUAGACAUACCCUGAGGCUUUAUUUUUGUGGAGUCACGAGGGCAAAUAAAUGCCCAGUUAUCGGAGCUAUCUGCGAUGGGUGAACCCCCAAUUGACCUCAGGGCUGGUCCAGAGCCGGGUAGAAGGUUCUAGAAAGCAUUAGUUAUUCCACACCGGUUGAAGGUGCCAGGACCCGACCACUUUACUCACAAAGGUAAUGAUGCGUGUUGUUUGCCCAUGACUCCUGCCUGCCUCCUGCGAUAAGAAAGAAGAAAUGUCAAAGAGCCCAGCACACCUGAAAAAACAGAGAGGAGAGAGGGAAGAGAGACACAAGAUGAAGGAGGGAGCGAGAAAGGUGAGGAUGGAUGGACACGCUCGUUUCCGUUCAGCCCAGGAUCUGUCAGCGCACCCUCACAUGGAGAAAGUCCAAAGGCAGAGAAGGAAAGAUUUAUUAGUUCCGGCUCUAGACUGCCAGCAACCUUCCAACCGGGGGGCCAUGUCUCUCUCGGCAUGCCCACAGGAGAGGCGUCUGUGUGGGAUUGCUGCACUGCCAGACCCCCUGCUCAGCCUCUUCAUCAUCCACUUCAACCCUUGCACAGCUCUGGCAGGAAAACUCUGAAAGAAGAGAUGGGAAGGAGAGCUGUAGGAGGGGCAGAGAAAACAGAAAAAGAAAAAGAAUUACUUGAAGUCAAAAUAGUGCUCGCUCACAAACUUUCUGGUUAAUGAUCACUUUUCCAUUACAGGGUGGCACAAGGUUAUACAUCAAAAGUGUGAAUGUUUAUUCAUCUGAUAAAUGACUCUGAAAACAGCCUCUGUUUAGUCUCCGCUUAAUCCGCUGAGAACUAAUGUCAACAUCUUUAUUCUUUGCGACUGUGCUGCAGUUAGUGGUUGAUAGACUGUUAUGAUCUGUGAUCUAUGUAUGGUCCUUCAAAUGAAGUGUCGCUCCAUGAACAACAGGUUUCUCACGUCUGAGGUGUGCUGUUAGAAAUAACAGUACAGCUGUUGUAAUAAAAGGGUGCUAGGUGGGUAGUGUAUAAAUAUGCUAAAUUAAAUAUACAUGCAUACCUAUUUUAUGAUAAACUGCUUUUAUAUAUCAUUUCUUUUUGACUUGCAUGUACCAUUAUGACUUUGUAUUGAG